GACGUAGGGCGCGAGCGUUGUCCGGAUUUAUUGGGCGUAAAGAGCUCGUAGGCGGUUUGUCGCGUCGAAUGUGAAAACUCGGGGCUCAACUCCGAGCUUGCAUUCGAUACGGGCAGGCUAGAGUUCGGUAGGGGAGACUGGAAUUCCUGGUGUAGCGGUGAAAUGCGCAGAUAUCAGGAGGAACACCGGUGGCGAAGGCGGGUCUCUGGGCCGAUACUGACGCUGAGGCGCGAAAGCUAGGGGAGCAAACGGG
rnacentral:rRNA from 1 species